CGUACCCUAGCCAUAAGGUCAGAAUGGUAGUUAUCUAGUUAAGUUAGCAUGCAUUAGUAAUUUUUCUUUGAUACACCUAGUAGCAUAUUUAUUUCUCUUAGCAUAUUAAUACAAAAUACAAACAAAUAUUUACUGCUUUAAUUACUACAUCAUAAAUACCAAGCCCCAUGUGAAUAAACUUAUGGUAACCUCUUAGGAAUAUUUACUGUGGUGGCAUAAAAAAUAUAGCAUUCAUAUUUAAAUUCCUGCAUCAUAAAUAGAAAAUUCAAAAAUAAGAGAAAAUUGAAAUCCUGUUUAAAUUAGACAACAAUAAAGCUAGCUCACACAGGUGAUCAAUUACUCUUUGGCUGACCGCUAACCCACCAGGUCCGCUACUGGUUAGCUCACUCUAAAGGACAUCUACAUCAGAUAUUGCAACCAUCCAACUUGGGGGAGGAGCAUCCCCUAGUUAUCAGGUAAUUACACCUAAGCAAUUAUCGAGUCUACAUAGUUAUAAAAAUGCCAAAAAAAUAUUUGGGCACAUGAAGGUCCACGUCUGUUGAGUCUUUUAUGAGUCUGUGGUUAAAUAAAAUCUAAAAACCAAUAAAAGAAGUCUUAGUUAGUAUUAAUUAUAUUAGAGUGUGUCUAGGCUAGAGCUAAUUAAAGAUUGAUGAACAUUAAAAUUUUACCUUGGAGAUGAUGAAUAGUUGCUCUGUUAUAGUUCUUUACAAGUACAUAGAUUCCAAUGUUAGACUCUCUCAAGUUUUGGACAUUACUGUUUUAAUUUGAAAGUUUACUCUGAACCUGCAACUUGUGGAGGCAUAAAUUUGAGCUAAGUCUAGGUAGUUGGUUGAUAUGAUCAUUGAAAGUCUGAGCUGCUAUUUAUCUUAUUCCUAGCAUUAUUAAGUUCUGGAGAUUUAUUUCAAAAAUUUAAAAUUUACAUGAUGAGCUAUUGUAUGACAAGUUUGAAUUCCUACCAAAGCCAUAUAUAAUAUACAUCUAGAGUUAGGAAAACUUUUUCACAUUUAUGCUGCUUGCUUUGCAUUGAGUUCAGUCAACCUUUGUAGUAUACCUUAUGAGAGUCUUAUCAUGCUUUUAAAACCAAGAUCACAUACACACUCCAGUUCACAUCUAGGAGAAAUCACAAUCAUUUCCAUUCCAUGUUCACCAAUCAUGUUUUUCCCCUACACUGGGAGUAAACACCAACAUAAACGAUACCCAUACGAUAAAGCCCAUCAUAAAUGCUCUAAGUUCUUAUUAUUACCUCUCUAAUCAUUUAUUGUAUUCAAAGGAUACAUGUGGCUAUGCAAAAAGCUAUUGAAAAAAAAGAAGAAGAAGAAAAAAAAGAGAGUGAAGAGGGAGUAAAAGAAGGACAAGUGUCCUAGCAAUUAAAACAAUGGGUACUAGAUGCCCGCUUCCCUAAAUAAAAAAAAUAAGAUAGCCCAUAUCUCUCCUAAAAAGUUUCAAUAGAAAGCUAUCCCAAAAGUAGAAAUAGAAAGUAGCCACAAAUACCACAAAUACACCCAUCCACCAUAUUCCAUACACAUGCACAUCUUGGUUUAGUUGUAUACCUCGAUUCUCUAUGGAUCCAUUAGUUGACUUUACAAUACAUGCAUUGCAAGUAUGCCUAUCCUUGUUAUUGGCACUCCUAUAAGCUCUACCAUAUAUAUACCUUUAACUAUAGGAGGCAUAACAUCAUUAAUGCCUCAAGAGAGAACCAUAAAUACCAUAUACAUUAAGAGACUUGAGGGUGUCAUACAAUUAAGCUCUGAGUUUUAUUCUGAAAACUUAUAAAAAACUCUGAAAUAAUGGUUCUACAAAGAAUUUGAGACAUAGUGCUUGACCUAAUCAUUCUAUCUUCUGAUUGCCCAAGACUCAUGCAAAAGCUGUAAGCCCCAUGGUUAAGGGUAAAACAAGUAAGUUUGAAGAUUAGAGCAGUUAUUGACUAAUCUCGAGGAGAAUCUUUGUUUAGGAGCAUGUGCACUUGGAAAGAAUAAAAACAUUGUAACAACUCUUGAUCCAAAUACAUAUACUGCUUAGGCUUGGUUUGCCAAUGGACUGGCAAAAGGUAAGCUUGGGGGAAUUGUUGACGGUCGAUAACGUCAACUUUUAUUAGAACUUUAAACCCAAAGGAGAACAUGAAAACACACUAGUCUAGGGUUUAAACUGACAAUUUCCACGAGUUUUGCAUAUUCUGUAUUUUCUAGGGUCUAGUUCUAGAAAAGCUAAAAAGAGGGAUUGAAGUGCAUAUUUACCACAAAACUUAUCCGCCACGAAAAAGAUCACGAACAGGACGUGGGAAGACUCUGGAAGACACCGGAAGAAACCGGGGGCUAGAGGCCGCUAGGUGGGGCCGGCCGGCCCCACCAUGGCACCGGCCGGCGCCCCCCUAUUAGGGUUUUGGCCCCCCUUCUGGAAGCUUCCUCCACCGCCUCCGAGGAGUCAUCUUGGCCCUUGGUUAAGUCAAUUUGAUCCUACGGCACACGUCGAUCCCACCGGGCUAUAAAUAAAGGGGCAGACCCCCCUCCCUGGAGGCAUCAAGUCAUUUGGAUAUCCAUUAAUCAAGAGCCUUCUCUAGUUCAUCAAAGCCUCUCUAGUUCAUAGUUUUAGCCUAGUUAGAAAAGAAGUAGAAGAGUUCUAGUUCUUCAGCGGGAUUCGGAGCCCCUGGUGUCUGUCUGGAGCGCGGAGUUCGGUAUAACUCUAGUACCUUUCUCUUAUUAUAUUCAAUAUUAUGAUUUAGGCAACAUUGUUCUUAAUCUCUUAUAUAUUCUUAAUUGCAAUAGUCAUUGUCUACUUUGAUUAUAUGUCUAGGAUAGUUGGUUUGAUCUUAUUGAAUCCAUGUAAUUGCUCGUAUAGCAUUUACCCAAUCAAUUGGUGGGUAGAUGGUAGAUAAUAUAUAGACAUGGUGUCUAGAUAUCUUGUUUAUCUACGAGGGCACCCUGACGUGCCGGGUCGUGUGGUAGUCCGCGUUGGUGACAACUGCAUUAGUUCCUCUGUAGUCCAUUCCCCGUACGUAGGACAGCUUGGGCAUGGUCGUGAAGGAGGUGGUUGCAUCUUAAAACCCUCAUUAGUUGAUGCCUCUUUGCAUGUGAUUAUGAUAUAGUGUUGACUUAACAAUGAUUUUCUAGAUGUAAUUGCACUAAUUAGAGUUAUUCAUUGACGUAGUUAUAGAAUUACCUUAGUAUUUAUUCUUGAGUUUAUCCAUUGGCAGCUAUUACUUUGACUAGAAGAGCUCUGAUAUUUAUCUAUUUAUGAUGACUGAUCAUUAUUUAUCUUAUAUCUUUUAUCAAGUGACUUAUCCCUAUUAUGAGUAGGAUUCUAGUUAGGGUUUAUCAUUCACACCAAUAGUAUAAGUUAUAGUUAUAAGACCUACAUAUAGACCUUCCCUGUGGAUACGAUAUUGAAAACGCCCUAGGUAAAAUGUGACAUUGGUACGAUAUCUGUGCGCUUGCGGAUAAUCUUACUUAAAUCUUAUUUAAAGGAGUGC
rnacentral:lncRNA from 1 species